rnacentral:rRNA from 1 species
UGGGACUGAGACACGGCCCAGACUCCUACGGGAGGCAGCAGUGGGGAAUAUUGCACAAUGGGCGCAAGCCUGAUGCAGCCAUGCCGCGUGAAUGAUGAAGGCCUUAGGGUUGUAAAAUUCUUUCGCCAGGGAUGAUAAUGACAGUACCUGGUAAAGAAGCCCCGGCUAACUUCGUGCCAGCAGCCGCGGUAAUACGAAGGGGGCUAGCGUU